rnacentral:lncRNA from 1 species
UUCAACCACCCAGCUUGAUAAACUCUGGUCAUCUUCAUUUUAGGGGAAACUUGCUUAAUUGUACUUUGUGGGAGGGUCAUGCCAGAUCAUUCCUCAAUGGUUCUGAUCAGACAACUGAGGAAACCAAUUUGUUGUGAUUAUAAGGAAGGUUGUAGUUCAGGAAGUAACCGGUAAAGUUAAUUCAUGACAUUAGAUGAUAUUGUACUGUAUAAAUUAAAUUUUGUACGCAUGUUUAUUAAACAUUAAACUAUCCACUUUGUGUUAUAAAUGGAUGGAGAGGAACCAGAGU